GAUCCUGGCUCAGGACGAACGCUGGCGGCGUGCCUAACACAUGCAAGUCGAACGGAAGCAAAGAUUUCGGUUUUUGCUUUAGUGGCGAACGGGUGAGUAACGCGUGAGGAACCUGCCUUUCAGUGGGGGGACGAACAGUUGGAAACGACUGCUAAUACCGCAUAAUGCUUUUUGUAUGGCAUCAUUGAAAAGCCAAAGAUUUAUUGCUGAAAGAUGGCCUCGCGUCUGAUUAGCUAGUUGGUGAGG
rnacentral:rRNA from 1 species